GUUGUUGGGUAAUCUGGUCAAUAAUCUGAAUCUGUCAUACAGACUGUGAUGAAUUUUGGAACCACAGAUCCAUAAACCUCCAAACUGGAAAUCUGUAAACAAGACACAGGAGAGCACUGUUGACAAUACUUUCCGUCACAUUAUAAAAAUAAAUCUGCUGGGGAGCUGGUAUCACUCUAAUGACUGCAAUCAGAUAUUACGUCACAUCAAGCCCAGCGAAGAACAACUGGGGACUUUUUGCCUAAACUGGGAGAUUGUUCCACUGGUCAAGCAAAAUCAUACGGGGUCAUAAUAACAAAUACACAUCUUUUAGUCUAGGUUCCAGGUUCCUCUUUAACAAUCCCAAAGGCAACCGAUUCUAGUGAUGGUUGACCCAACAGAAGGCAGUGAAAUUUUACAUUGACUAAGUAGGACUGUAGCAUUAGGCACUUACAGUACGUUCAAGAUUAUUGUCAUCUGAUUGCACAUGUAUACAGCCAAAUAAAACAACAUUCCUUUGAAUCACAGUCACACACAAAACUAUCACACACAGCAUGUAAAUCAAAACAUUACCAUAAAGAAGUCAAUAAAAUAUAAUUCAAAAUCCAUGUACUUCCCAUCACAGAUAAACUGUAAACAGUACAGUAAAUAGCUCACUGUCCGAGAGUGGAGACCUCAUGGUGGCAGGGGAUUCAUUAGUCUCACAGCCUGAGGGAAAGAAGCUGUUACCCAAUCUGGCAGUUGUAGUCCUGAUGGUUCUGUACCUCCCUAUUGAUGGAUGGGCAGUAGGGAUCCUCAACAAUGCUUCAGGUCCUUUGUGUACAACAGUCUUGGUAAAUGUCCCAGAUAGGGGAGAGGGAGACCCUGGUGAUCCUCUGAGUGGUUUUUACUAUACUUUGUGGGGUGCUGUCGUCCAAUGCCAUGCAGCAUCCAAACCAUGCAAUGAUGCAGUCAAGCAGGAGACUCUCAAUGGUGUUCUUAUAGAUAGGUGUUAGAAUGUGGGUGGGGAGCCCGGAUAUGGGGUAUAACUUCCAAUGGGAAAUACAUACAGCAUGUAGUAAGGGCAAUGUUAAUGUAGUCAUGGGGAUUGAAAUGUGCAGGUAGACUGGGAAAAUCAAUUUGGAGCUAGAUCCCAUGAGAGAGAAUUUUAGAAGGCCUAUGAGAUGGCUUUUUAGAGCAGCUUGUGGUUGAGACCACUAGGGGAUCAGCUAUUCUGGAUUGGGCAAUGUGUAAUGAAACAGUUUAGAUUAGUGAUCUUAAGGCAAAGGAACCCUUGGAAGGCAGUGAUCAUAAUAUGAUAGAAUUCACCCUGCAGUUAGAGAGGAAGAAGAUAGAGUCAGAAGUAUUUCAGUGGAGUAAACAGAAAUACAGAGGCAUGAGAGAGCAGCUGGCCAAACUUGAUUGGAAGGGGACACGAGCUGUGAUGAUAGCAGAACAACAAUGGCGGGACAUUCUGGAGGCAAUUCGGAAGGUGCAAGAUAGUUUUAUCCCAAAGAUGAAGAAGUAUUCUAAAGGGAGGAUGAGGCAAUUAUGGCUGAUAAAGGAAGUCAAAGACAGUAUAAAAGCAAAAGAGAGAGCAUUUAAUAUAGCAAAAGUUAGUGGGAAGUCAGAGGAUUGAGAAGUUUUAAAAAUCAACAGAAGCAACUAAAAAUCCAUAAGGAGAGAAGAAAAGAAAUACGAAGGUAAGCUAGCCAAUAAUCAUAAGGAGGAUACCAGAAGAUUUCUUUUCAUAUAUAUAAAGGGUAAUAGAGAGGUGAGAGUGGAUAUUGGACACUGGAAAAUGAUGCUGGAGAAGUAGCAAUAGGGACUAACAAAUAGUGGAUGAACUUAAUUAGUAUUUUGAGUCCGUCUUCACUGUGGAAGAACUAGUAAUGUGCCAAAAAUGCAAGUGAUUGGGAAGAUGUUGGGGUCCAUUAUUAAGAAUGAGAUUUUGGGGUACUUGGCGGCAUGUAAUCAGUAUGGUUUCCUUAAGGGGAAAUCUUGCCUGACAAAUCUGUUGGAAUUCUUCGAAGAAAUAACAGACAGGAUAGACAAAGGCAAGUCAGUAGAUGUUGUUUACUUGGAUUUUCAGAAGGCCUUUGACAAGGUGCCACAUAUGAGAAUGCUUAACAAGCUAAAAGUCCAUAGUAUUUAGUAAGGAUACUAGCAUGGAUAGAAAAUUGGCUGAUUGGCAGGAGGCAGUGAGUGAGAAUAAAGUGGGCCUAUUCUGUAUGGCUGCUGGUAAGAGAAGUGGUGCUCUGCAAGGGUUGGUAUUGGAACUGCUUCUUUUCAUGUUAUAUGUCAAUAAUUUGGAUGAUUGAAUUGAUGGCUUUGUGGCCAAGUUUGUGGAUGAUACGAAGAUAGGUGAAAAGCAGGUAGUGCUGAAGAAACAUGGAGUCUGCAGAAGGACUGGGGCACAUGGGAGAAUUGGCAAAGAAGUAGCAGAUAGAAUACAGUGUAAGGAAGUGUACAGUCAUGCACUUUGGUAGAAGGAAUAAAGUCAUAGACUAUUUUCUAAAGGUUGAGGAAAUGUACGGGAUUUCCUAAAGGUUAACUUGGAAGUUGAGUUGGUGGUAAGGAAGGCAAAUGCAAUGUUAGCAAUCAUUUUGAGAGGACUAGAAUAUAAGAGCAUGGGUGUGAUCCUAAGGCUUUAUAAGCCAAUGGUCAGACCAAUAAACAGUUUUGGCCCCUUAUCUGAGAAAAGGAGUGCUGGCAUUGGAGGAGGUCCAGAGGAGGUUCAUGACAAUGAUUCCAGAAUGAAAGGGAUAAAGUAGCUGGAACUUUUGAUAGCUCUGGGCCUGUACUACAGUAGCCAGAGUUCAGAAGAGUGAAAGGAGAUCUCAUUGAAACCUAUCAAAUAUUGAAAGGCUAAGACAGAAUAAACAUUGAGAGGAUGUUUCCUAUAGUGGGUGAGUCUAGGACCAGAGGGCAAAGCCUCAGAAUAAGGAGACGUCCAUUUCUUUAGCUAGACGGUGGUGAAUCUGUGGAAUUCAUUGUCAUAAAUGGUCGUGGAGGCCAAGUCAUUGGGGAUAUUUAGAGCAGAGAUUGAUAUGCUCUUGGUUAGUCAGUGCAUCAAAGGUUACAGGGAGAAGAAAGAGAAUGGGGCUGAGAGGGAUAAUAAAUCAGCCACGAUGGAAUGGCAGGGCAGACUCGAUGGGCCAAGUGGCACAAUACUGCUCCUAUGUCUUAUGAGCAUUGCAUGCUCAAUCUCCUCAGAAACUAGACGCUGCUGUGUCUUCUGUGCUGUGCGGUGUCGUGGGUCCAGUUUAGAUUGUAAGUGAUGUGCACACCAAGUACUCUGGCUAUGGUUCAGAUCAGUGUUUGUUACCAUUGAUGAACAAAUAAUAUGGAGUAUGCUCAGAAGGCUACAGUGGAAGACCGAAGGAUUGGUAAUUAAGAUGUAAUUUUAUGAUCUGGUGCUUCUAAAAGGCUUUGACCUUGUGAGUAGGAAUUUAAAAAGGCCUAAAUAUUUCAUAUGCAAAAGUCCAGUGACAUUGAUGUCAGUGAUCUGCUUUUUGAACACCGUUUUAUAACAUUCCCCUGUAUAAUCAAGAGAAAUUAAUUAUUGGCAAGGAACUUAAUUUAUGAACCAUUCAUGUUGCUAAUACUCUGAGAAUGUCAUGCUUUGUUGCAUGGCAGGUAAACAAGCUUUUGAAUUACGUUCUAAAGAUCAUUAAUGCUUAACAGUCCCAGGCUCAGAAAUACUAAUUUUAUGUGUUUGUGUUGAACCUCCCUCAGAUAAUGGUUCAAAAUAUAGUAGAUUUUAACAUGAAAAUUACCAUGAAACUUCAAUAUUUAAGUUUUUCAUUUAAAUUUUUGCUGAUGUUCCAUUCUUUACUUUGCAGUCUGAAAAAUGUUUACAAACAUUAGCUUAAAACUGAGCCUUUUUUGCCUGAGUUUGCACACAGUGGGAAUACCUCAGUGUGUCUCGCGACAUAACCCAUUUGAUGACAUCAGUAAUGCAAGAUGUCAGUGUGUCCUUUGGUCUCUGUUAGAUGCCAGCUCAGUGUGGAACAGGGAAAGUUCAUACCACAGACAUUGGUUGAUCCUAAUUGGCACUUUUCUUAUAGGUCAUUGCCAAAUACCUGUUGACCUUAAAAUCCAGGCAAAUGCUACAAGGAAAUAGGAAGCAUGAUAUUCUUGUUAUUGUUUGUAUGGAUGUUAUCUGAUUUCAGUGGUGUAGCAAUUCAGGCAGUAAAAUAUACAUCUUUAUUCCUAGAGAGAUAAAUUAUGUAAAUAAUUCAUUGUUCAUAUGAUAUAUGAUAGAAAAUCUAUCACUUUUUGGGACUUUGUUGAAUGAGUACAUUUUCUAGACUAUUGGAUGUUACGCUUGUUAAUAAACAAACACUAUUACUGUAUUUCAUUUUUUUUAAUGUGUUAGAAAUUUUCCAGUGAACCCAGUGAGCUUAAAAGGGAGCAGGAACUAUAUCUAUGUUCUGUGACUCUGUGGGCUCUGGUCUGGGUGCAGGUCAAUGGGACCAGACAGAUUUAUAGUUCAGCACAGACUAGAUGGGCCAAAGGGCCUGUUUCCAUGCUGUAAUGUUCUAUAAGUCUACAUUCUUGUCCUUAGCUCUAGCUGCAGUUACACUGUCAUCCCACAAUUUGGAAUCUGGCUCCAGUCACACUCCAAGCUCUCUGACCACACACCCUGCUUGAACUCUGGACCCUGGCUCACAUUCCAGACCAAUGAAUGGAUCACCGGGAUUUUGUAACAACUGGAUGCUUCGCUUUUUGAAAAUAGGAUAUUCUGCUAAUAUUCAAGCCUGGAUAUUCCCACUCUUCUUACUGGCAGUAAUUCAUUCAUGGGUCAAACACCAGUCCACUGCCUCAAGUUGAAGUUCAAGUUCAAGUUUGUCAUCUGAUUGUACAUAUAUACAACCAGGCAAAACAGCAUUCCUUCAGACAACAGUGCACCCGCACAGCAUGUAAACCAAAAUAUGAUAUAAUGUUGUCAGAGUCAAUCUGGAGAGAUUUCUAGAAUAAAUGUGAUGCCAUUCACAAAAGGCAUCCUGGUAUGAAAUAGUGUGUUUAAUCUGUUUUUGUCCAGUUCCUGAUUUAUUACUGAUAUUGAAUAGAAAAUCUGAUGCUGGUUGGUUGUUCCUGAAAGUUACAGUAACACGAUUAAAUGUUAAAAUUGGUUUUGCAUUGAAUAGAAUGAAAAAUAUUAACUAAUUAUUUUUUAUUUAUAUGGUUCAGAACUAAUGUUUCAUGUAGUAAAGUGUACAGUAGUUAUUAUGGCAUGUCUGUAUGUGGUCUGCUGUUGAUAAUAAACACUUUCUCUUUUUUGUGUACAGAACUGUGGGAAAACAUUUAGCAUUGUGCCAAACACACCACAUGAUAAAAAUAGUUGGAUGGAUACCUGACUAGGGACAAGGAUGAAUGUUACUUGAUGUUCACACAAGAUGGGGAACAUUGUGAAAGGUUUAGUAAACCAUCUAUCAGUACCUGAAAUAACUGAAAAACAACUCUUCUUCUAUGUGUCUAGACGUACAAUUGCUUUGACCUGAGUGUUUAUUAUGGUGUCCUGAUGAAGGGUCUCAGCUUGAAACACUGACUGUACUCUUUCCCAUAGAUGUUGCCUAGCCUGCUGAGUUCGUCAGCAUUUUGUGUGUGUGUUGCUUGGAUUUCCAGCGUCUGCGGGUUUCCUCUUGUUUAUUGUCACAGGCCUACACUGCCGUUCAGUGGUCACAUUGUUGAAUGACACAAAAUUAAAAAGUGAAGUUGGGGUUUUCAUAAAGAAUGAUCUUGUGCUCC